GUGGUGACCUGGGAAUCAAUGUGUGAGGUGGUGCUAUGUAGCAGGAACCCCUCUUGCUUUGCAAAUAGUUUUUUGUUUGUUUUCCUUUUUGCCCAAUAGAGCCCUGCUCUACUGACCCUUCAAUGUGCCCGUGUGCCUAAAUAUUCCUGGUCGUGUGAAAAGAACCCAGGUAUUAGCUGAACUAAGGAGCACAAUUCUGCAACAUUUUGGCACCCAAACACGGGGCUUGAGAAAUGAAUGCAAUUGGAGAAACUGGUUGUUUUACCAGGCGUUGAUUGGAAAUGUGUGCUUCCCUUUAAGCAGUCAAGCUCAACUUGCAGAACUGAUGGGAACCCCUUGGGAAAACUGGCCUCAAAUGUUUGUCUACACAGUCCACAUACAGGGUUCUUAACCUGCGGAAACACUUUCUGAAAAUGUCAGAACUCUUGAAAACAUGGAUGAGGAAAAGCAUAAGUACUGCUUUAUGCUUUUCUUAUGAAUUUUAAAAGAUGUAAUUUAAAGCAUAUUUAACUAUCCGGCUAUUUUGGAGAUUGAAAAAAGAAGACCUGAUUUAUCAUGUGCAAUAUCUCACACAUCUGUCAUUUCUAUUCUACCGCAAUUCGAUGGAGUCUUGUUCUGUGGUCCAGGCUAGAGGGCAGUGGCAUGAUCUCGGCUCACUACAAGCUCUGCCUCCCGGGUUCACGCCAUUCUCCUGCCUCAGCCUCCUGAGUAGCUGGGACUACAGGCGCCCGCCACCACGCCUGGCUAAUUUUUUGUAUAUUUACUAGAGAUGGCUAGUGUUAGCCAAGAUGGUCUCGAUCUCCUGACCUCGUGAUCUGCCCACCUCAGCCUGCCAAAGUGCUGGGAUUACUGGCGUGAGCCACCGUGCCUGGCCAGCAUCCUCUAAUUAUUAUUCAUAGUUUGUGAAUUUAGGCCUACGUGAAUAAUAAUAUAAUAUUUACUAUGAUGUUACUAUCUACCAACCUUAUUUUUCUUUUCUAUAAAAUAGGAGCCAAAAUAAUAUUUAUGUCAUACCUUAUGAAGUUAAAAUAAAAUAUAACGAAUGAGGGGCUUAACAA
rnacentral:lncRNA from 1 species